AUUGAACGCUGGCGGCAGGCCUAACACAUGCAAGUCGAGCGAGCGGCGGACGGGUGUGUAAUGUCUGUGAAACUGCCUGAUGGAGGGGGAUAACCACUGGAAACGGUAGCUAAUACCCCAUACCAUCAGAUGUGCCCAGAUGGGAUUAGCUAGUAGGUGGGGUAACGGCUCACCUAGGCGACGAUCCCUAGCGGGUCUGUGAGGAUGACCAGCCACACGGGAACUGGGACACGGUCCAGACUCUUACGGGAGGCAGAAGUGGGGAAUAUUGCACAAUGGGGGCAAGCCUGAUGCAGCCAUGCCGCGUGUGUGAAGAAGGCCUUCGGGUUGUAAAGUACUUUCAGCGGGGAGGCGUUACCCGCAGAAGAAGCACCGGCUAACUACGUGCCAGCAGCCGCGGUAAUUC
rnacentral:rRNA from 1 species